AUUGAACGCUGGCGGCAUGCCUUACACAUGCAAGUCGAACGGCAGCGCGGGAGCAAUCCUGGCGGCGAGUGGCGAACGGGUGAGUAAUAUAUCGGAACGUGCCCAGUAGUGGGGGAUAGCCCGGCGAAAGCCGGAUUAAUACCGCAUGAGACCUGAGGGUGAAAGCGGGGGAUCGCAAGACCUCGCGCUAUUGGAGCGGCCGAUAUCAGAUUAGCUAGUUGGUGGGGUAAAGGCCUACCAAGGCAACGAUCUGUAGUUGGUCUGAGAGGACGACCAGCCACACUGGGACUGAGACACGGCCCAGACUCCUACGGGAGGCAGCAGUGGGGAAUAUUGGACAAUGGGCGAAAGCCUGAUCCAGCAAUGCCGCGUGAAUGAUGAAGGCCUUAGGGUUGUAAAGUUCUUUUAGUAGGGAAGAUAAUGACGGUACCUACAGAAAAAGUCCCGGCUAACUCCGUG
rnacentral:rRNA from 1 species